UGGGAGGAAACCCGGAAGUAUCGCCGUGAAUCACAUGAGAGUUGUGAAUGCGAUGUUGUGUAUUAGGCUGUACAUAAUAUUAACGGAAAGAGAGUGAUAAUAUAUAACCUUUCAUCGCUUCCGAAGUGACUAAAAGGGAUAUUGGACCUUAUUUUCAGAUUACAGACAACACGAGAGGGUGCUUCAAACUUUUUAAUCAGGACUGCAUUGUUUGUUCGCUCCCGGGGUUACAUAGACUGAAACGGGGAAGCGUGACGAGUUUGUUUACAUGGUGCUGUAAACUUCAACCCAGGAGGACACUUCAAAGGAAUCAAGGUGUCUGUGAUAUUGAAACACUAAAGGAAGAAGAGGAGGACCACCAUUCGUUUCCUGAGCAGAAAAAAAAUUAAGCAUAUCUAACAGUGGUUCUGGGGCAUUGCAAGACUAUGGUUACCUGGAAACAUCUCCUAUUAUGGAAGAUUAUCGCAACAUUUGUGUCUUGGAUCAUUUUUUCUUGUUUCUCUGCCACAGAUUUAGCUGUAAGGUUUAAAGGUCCCGUUUAUCCUGAUCCCAUUUUUUAAACUUUAGUUGGUGUGUAAUGUUGCUGUUAGAGCAUAAAUAAUAUCUGUAAAAUUAUAAAGCUCAAAAUUCUAUACCAAGCGAUAUAUUUUCUUUAAUAGAAUUUCCCUUUCAAAGCCUAUAGCAAACGGCCAGUUUGGACUACAGCCCUCUACUUCUCGAUUGAAUGACAUCCAAAGAAGAGUUUUUUACUAACCUCUGCCCACUGGAAUAUGUCAGUCGCCAGCUAAGCUCAAGUGGCUCUACUAAGCUGCUGUUGAAUCACAGCACACUAAACAAACUACAUAAUCAGAACUCGAUAGGUAUUUCUGAAGGAGGGACUUUAUAGAACAAGGAAGACAUCAGCUCGUUUUUAGUAAAGUAAAAACAGCGCUAGAGAGUAUGUGAAAAAUAUUGUCUUUUUUUACACACAAAACAUGAACACACGCUAUAUUGCACACCAUAAACACAAUCAUAGUUUGUGUUAAAUACUCUCAUUCUCACGGCACCCAUUCACUGCAGAGGAUCCCAUUGUAAGCAAUGUAAUGCUUAAUUUCUCCAAAUCUGUUCCAGUGAAAAAACAAACCAUCUAUAUCUUGGG